AUUGAACGCUGGCGGCAGGCCUAACACAUGCAAGUCGAGCGGAGCGGCGGACGGGUGAGUAAUGAAUGGGAAUCAGCCUGGUAGUGGGGGAUAGAGUCCGGAAAGGGGCGGUAAUAACGCAUACUAUCAGAGGAGCCUAGGUCGGAUUAGCUAGUUGGUGGGGUAAAGGCCCACCAAGGCGACGAUCCGUCACUGGUCUGAGAGGAUGAUCAGUAACACUGGAACUGAGACACGGUCCAGACUCCUACGGGAGGCAGCCGUGGGGAAUUUUGGACAAUGGGGGAAACCCUGAUCCAGCCAUCCCGCGUGUGCGAGGAAGGCCUUCGGGUUGUAAAGCACGUUUGGCAGGAAAGCGGUACCUGCAGAAUAAGCACCGGCUAACUCCGUGCCAGCAGCCGCGGUAAUUC
rnacentral:rRNA from 1 species